UGACCCGCUCCCUGCACACGAAUUCCACGAUGAACGGAAACCUCUGAAACCACAAACAAAGCAAACCUUUGUCCAUCAAGUUGUUUCUGUCAGGGGGUUCCCCACACGGUCACCAAGUCUACCAUAUAAGGGUCUUACUAUUUGGCCCUGACUGGCCCGGAACUCACUCUGUAAACCAGGCUGUCCUCAAAGUCGUUGGGAUCCACCUGAUUGAAGGCAUAUAUGCCACCCCACUCGUCAAGGAUGACCUUCGACAAUGUCACACUGACAAGGCUCCACAGGACAGGUGGCUGGGCACCACGUUUUUAUUUGUUCAUCCUGUGAUGGGCAGGACAUUUCUUUACUCUGGGCUGUGACUAUGAUGCUGCUGAAGACACAGACACUGUAGUGACUUUUUUGUCACAUACUCCAGCUAGAUUAAUUGAGCUGGGACUGUCAGCCACUUCACACAAGGGCAGAACAACAAGAUGUACAACACCCAGCUCCUUCUCAUGCCUGCCUGGACACUGACAUGCUUCCUGCCUUCAUGGACUGACCCUCUGAACCUCAUUUAUGUGCCUGUUUCUGUACACACACGGAAGUUGGGGGCAACUUGCAGAAAUCGGUUCUCUCCUUCCACGUGUGGCGUCCCCAGAGAUGAGAAGACUCAAGUCAUCAGACUAGGAAACUAGGCAGCUAGCAUCCUUGCCCAUUGAGACAUCUUAUAAGCCCAUAGGUACUAGUUUCAGUGUUUAUUUUUCCAAUAAAUAUGCUAAGAUGUUGGUGGUCAGGCAUGCUUGACAGGCAUGCUGUCAGACCCUCUACCUGGUGCCUGGCUGUCUUGCAUGGAAGACUCUCCAGCAAGAAUCCAGCUAGGCAAACCAUCAGGACAGCCUGGCUUAUCUGGACAUGCCGCAUGCAGACAGCAUAGAGGAACUGUACAGUAACCAGGGCUGCUUGCCACUGAAGCAUUAACUCUGGCUUCUGAAUGCCCUCCCCCACUUGCCAUUGGUUAAGAAGGCUCACCCUAGAUCUCGCAGCCAACGGCAACCUUGGUAAAGUUUACACCCAAGCCAAAGAGGGUCUACUUCUCCCCUCCCUCCUUCCCUUCCUCCAUGGCUUAGCAGAUGCUUCGGAUCACCUUUAAGCAGCCUCCUUUCUGGCUAAGUAAAGUGGCCAUUUAGCCCACUUUAUGAUCCUGCCUGGAGAUGUUGCUGUGCUUCCCCGCUGGUGGUUCAACUUCAGCACCAAUAAAAAGCCACUCUCAGG